rnacentral:misc_RNA from 1 species
AAAAAAAAAAAAAAAAAGGAAAUCAACUCACAUUCUCUAUGAGGGGAGCUCCAAUAGGUGGCUGAAAAAACAUGCCCAGAGCUCCCUCCUAUUUAUUUCAUAUAUACUACAAUGCAUUAAUUAUGUUUUAAGACAAUUCUUUUUUGUGUGCAUCAGAUGAAAAUGAAGGAAAUGCGGGCAAACUUUGAUCGUCAGUUCCAUGUCGUAGAUGGGCGAGGGAUUGGGCUUCUUUAUGGGCCUACACUUCUCUUCUCCUUCAUCGAAUUUAUUUUCUCCAGUCUCCAUUCGCCUCUCAGCCUGGCAAUGAAAGUAUCAGCCUUGGCGUUCACAUCUGGACUGGGACAGAACACGGAUCCACCGCUUCCGUCUCCACCCUCCAUCAUGUUGACCGUCUCCGUUGACUGCUUAUCCCGCUCCUCCAACUCUGGAGAGCUGCAUCGUGAGCUGUGAGCGCUUCUUAUCUUAACAUAGUCCCCUUUGACUGUAAAUUUAAAACCUGGCACUCGGAACGGCGGAGGUGGAGGUGGUGGGGGCAUUGGAAUGAGAGGGGAUUGCCCUUGGCUAUUCACAUUUUCCUCGUAGGAAUUAUUAUUAGCUCUUGUUGGUAACGGUGGCCGGCCUGUUGUUGUAGAAUUCCGCCGUCUGGAGGGUGCUCGGGGAGGUUUUACUGGUGCUGGGGGCGGGGGCGGGGGCGGUGGAGGAGGUGGUAUCUGACUCUUACGCUUGGACCACCUCUUUGAUGCGGUGAGAGACUGUCGUGGUGGAGGAGGAGGUGGUGGUGGAGGUGGACCAGAUUUGACACCAGGAGCCAUAGGUGGUGGAGGAGGCAGUGGUGCACGAGGAGGGGGAGGAGGAGGGGGAGGAGAGAGAUCAGUCUUUCUGGUAGGAGGUCUGAGAGAAGCAGGUGGUUCAGGAGGAAGAGGAACUGCCCUUCCAGGAGGAGGCUUCAAAGGAAGCAUACUGUCCACCCUUCCAGGAGGAGGAGGUACCCAUGCAAUUGUAUCGCUAAAUUUGCCAAUUGACUCAGCAGACAAUGCAAUUUCAUCAGGUGAGGCAUGGAGAGCAGUAGACUUGAUGCUGUCCAAAGACGAGUCCUUUCCAUGAUGACUUGAAUUCUUAUUAAGAGAUUGAUGAUCAACCUUCUCUUCUUUAAUAGAAUUUACUAAACCAAAAGAGUUAUGAGGAGAACCAGUAGAGUAGUUACUUAAGCUCAGGCUGAGAAGAGGUUUUUCAUCAUUUUGUCUACCUCCAGAGUUUCUUCGACGAAUCUUAGUACAGAAAAAAAAGAACAAUGCUGCGAAGGCAAAAGUCACUGCUGCAGUUACAACUACAGCAAUAACAAUUACUUUAUGGUUACUUCUGUGACUAUCUGGCUCAACAUUUGGAUCAGAAGCUGGACCUGCAGAAGCAUCUUCUGUAGCUGUAGGUGAUGAAUCACCACCUUGAGGAAAAAAUGGUUUUUGUGGAGAUGGAGUAGAAACUGGAGAUGGCAUAGAAACUGGAGAUGGCGUAGAAACUGGAGAAGGUGCCAGAUCAGCAGAUGGCACUGGACUGAAAAAAGGUGAUCCAGCAACAGGGACAGGGGCGGAGGCUGGUACCUCUGCAAUGCUUUGGAGCAAAUUUCUUUUUGGAACAAUGCGUAUGGGAAAUACAGAAUCAAGAUAUCUCGUAUGCUGAAUAUUAGAGCCACUUUCUCCAGAAACAUGGAACAGAUUAUUGUUCUUUCUCAUACAAUCUAGAAUUGUUUGCAUUAAAUGGGGAUUCUGGACCUUAACCAUUUUCCAAACAUGUUCUUUUGUCAGUAACCUACCCUCGGAAUUACUUUCACUAGCCAUAUCAGAUGUCUCCUCUGGAAAACAGAAGUUGAGAUCCUCAUUAGCUUCCUUCAAAUGAACAAAAUCUUGCCUGCAACUGAUCCAUAAUAGCUCUGCCAUGCCGUCAUCAACCUCCCCAGUCAAUGGAUCGACUAAUUGGCUCAUAUGCACUUCCUCUGUCCUCUUUCUGUAUUCCAGGCUCCCCACCGAAGAUGCACAAAGCAAAAUCACCAAGAACAGGACAUAAUUUGACUGUAUGCGAAUCAUUUGUUGUUGAAUCACCAUUGUCAGCAUACUCUAUUCUUCUCAUUUCAUCAACGGCUAAACCCUUUACAGAAGCAAAACCCUAGAAUACCGUCAUAAUGCGAAGCUCCCAAAAAGCUUCAAACUUGGAAUAUUCGACUCGUACCCACUGUUGAUUUCUGUGAAGGUGAAUCCCACAACUAAUCGUCACUAUAUACAAUUUCUCCAAGACCCGGAAACAAUUUUUGCCCAAAAAUUGAAACUUGGAAUCAGCACUCAAUCAACCAAAUAAACUCAGAAUUUAUCUUCCAUAAAAAAACACCAAAAUAUCGAAUCAAAUAGCACAAAGACCAAAACACACAAAAGAAUCAAUAUCAAUGAGCUCAAAAUAAAAUUAACUUAAGGUGGAGCUAUCAGAAUCAAAACGAACCCUUAUUUUGGCCCUAUAAGCAGACCCAAAAAAAUCCCAAAUGUGAGCAGGAAUUUGAAAAUUCAAAUGAGCAUUCGAUUAUGACCAGAUCCAAUCAAAAGGAACUUAAAAGGGCAUUUGCUGUUUUUGCAGGAGACGGUUUGGACCAGUGAAAACGAUGGAAAUGAGACGAGGAAUUUAUUAUAAAAUACAAAAAUUCCAAAUUUUUUAAUUGAAAAAGAAAAAGAGUAUCUUUUGAAUUUUAUGAGCUGUUUUUGGGUAGAGAGAGAGAGAGAGAG